GAUGAACGCUGGCGGCGUGCCUAAUACAUGCAAGUCGAGCGAACGGGCGAGAAGCUUGCUUCUCUGAUGUUAGCGGCGGACGGGUGAGUAACACGUGGAUAACCUACCUAUAAGACUGGGAUAACUUCGGGAAACCGGAGCUAAUACCGGAUGAUAUUUUGAACCGCAUGGUUCAAAAGUGAAAGACGGUCUUGCUGCCACUUAUAGAUGGAUCCGCGCUGCAUUAGCUAGUUGGUAAGGUAACGGCUUACCAAGGCAACGAUGCAUAGCCGACCUGAGAGGGUGAUCGGCCACACUGGAACUGAGACACGGUCCAGACUCCUACGGGAGGCAGCAGUAGGGAAUCUUCCGCAAUGGGCGAAAGCCUGACGGAGCAACGCCGCGUGAGUGAUGAAGGUCUUCGGAUCGUAAAACUCUGUUAUUAGGGAAGAACAUAUGUGUAAGUAACUGUGCACAUCUUGACGGUACCUAAUCAGAAAGCCACGGCUAACUACGU
rnacentral:rRNA from 1 species